GAUGAACGCUAGCGGCAGGCUUAACACAUGCAAGUCGAGGGGCAGCAUAAUGGAUAGCAAUAUCUAUGGUGGCGACCGGCGCACGGGUGCGUAACGCGUAUGCAACCUACCUUUAACAGGGGGAUAACACUGAGAAAUUGGUACUAAUACCCCAUAAUAUCAUAGAAGGCAUCUUUUAUGGUUGAAAAUUCCGAUGGUUAGAGAUGGGCAUGCGUUGUAUUAGCUAGUUGGUGGGGUAACGGCUCACCAAGGCGACGAUACAUAGGGGGACUGAGAGGUUAACCCCCCACACUGGUACUGAGACACGGACCAGACUCCUACGGGAGGCAGCAGUGAGGAAUAUUGGUCAAUGGACGCAAGUCUGAACCAGCCAUGCCGCGUGCAGGAUGACGGCUCUAUGAGUUGUAAACUGCUUUUGUACGAGGGUAAACGCAGAUACGUGUAUCUGUCUGAAAGUAUCGUACGAAUAAGGAUCGGCUAACUCUGUG
rnacentral:rRNA from 1 species